AUGAGAGGAAGUGUUUUUCUAUCUUUCCCUGAAAAGCUCUAAAUCCUUUGCAUUCUGCUGCCUUUUCUCUCCAGAUCUAGCAAAGGUAGAAAAGUUUUCUCUCACAAGUAGUGCCUCUGAAAAUUCACUGGAAAUAGCUGGCCAGAUACCGUUCCCUGUUCUACUGAGGGAUUUUGAUGACCAAGAGAGCAACAUGUGGACACAUCUUUUUCCCCUCCAUUAAGGAGUACGGAUGGCUGAACUCAAAUCCCAGGACCAUCUGCUACUUGGGAAAGAUUCUUAUCUGUC
rnacentral:lncRNA from 1 species